CCUACGGGAGGCAGCAGUGGGGAAUAUUGCACAAUGGGGGAAACCCUGAUGCAGCGACGCCGCGUGAGUGAAGAAGUAUUUCGGUAUGUAAAGCUCUAUCAGCAGGGAAGAAGAAAGACGGUACCUGACUAAGAAGCCCCGGCUAACUACGUGCCAGCAGCCGCGGUAAUACGUAGGGGGCAAGCGUUAUCCGGAUAUACUGGGUGUAAGGGGAGCGUAGACGGCUGUGCAAGUCUGAAGUGAAAGCCCAGGGCUCAACCCUGGGACUGCUUUGGAAACUGUGGAGCUAGAGUGCUGGAGAGGUAAGUGGAAUUCCUAGUGUAGCGGUGAAAUGCGUAGAUAUUAGGAGGAACACCAGUGGCGAAGGCGGCUUACUGGACAGUAACUGACGUUGAGGCUCGAAAGCGUGGGGAGCAAACAGGAUUAGAUACCCCAGUAGUC
rnacentral:rRNA from 1 species